GACGAACGCUGGCGGCGUGCCUAAUACAUGCAAGUAGAACGCAGAAGGGGGAGCUUUCUUCUCCGGAUGAGUUGCGCACGGGUGAGUAACGCGUAUGUAACCUGCCUCGUAGCGGGGGAUAACUCUUGGAAACGAUAGCUAUUACCGCAUAAGAGUAGAUGUCGCAUGACAUUUGCUUAAAAGAUGCAACUGUACCACUACCAAUUGGUGCUGCCUCGUCUUAGUUAGUUGGUGGGGUAACGGCUCACAACGGCAACGAUGCUUAGCCGCCCUGCGAGGGGAUCGGCCACACUGGGACCGGGACACCGCCCAGAACUCUACGGGAGGCAGCCGGAGGGAAUCUUCGGCCAUUGACGGAAGGCUGACCGAGCCAAGCCGCGGGAGUGGAGAAGGGUCUCGGAUCGUAAAGCUCUGGUGAAAGGGAAGGAAGAGAGUGAGAGUGGAAUGUGCACACUGUGACGGUACCUAAUCAGAAAGCGACGGCUAACUACGUG
rnacentral:rRNA from 1 species